rnacentral:lncRNA from 1 species
GACCUGAGCACUUUAUCUUCGUUCUUGAUACUUAUAUCUACAAAUGAAAUUAGGGCUAGUUACACUGCAUUUCCAUCAUCAGCUCUCCCUUGUGGUUCAAAUUUAGCACAAACCUGCUGUGGAUACAUAUUAAUUAGGGGAAUAUAAUAGGAUGGAAUUAUUUCAUGAGUUUUUUAAUGACUGUUCUUUGAAGUAUGGUUUUUAUCUUAUAAAUUUACCAUUAUUGUGUUGAAAAUCUAGAAAAUCUUUACAUGAGCAGCUAAGCUGCUGUCAGCCCAGAACAGUGUAAGUCGAACAUUAACUGGCAGGAAAACUGAUGAAAGUGUCUUUGACUUUGAGAUGCAGCAAGCCAUUUCAAGUGAAGUUGCCCAUUCUCUGUACAGAAUGGUGUGGCGGUCUUGUAACUUCAUUGCAUGGUUGGAGUCUGAAUAGAAGUUUUCUGUCACUGUUUGCCACAGGUGUAAGUUACAGGGGGAGAAAAGACACUUUUUACAGAGCUGGGAGCUCAUAAACGUCUCAAAAGAAAGAUGCUGGAUAAUUGGAAAUAAGAAUUUGAGUUUCCUGGUUUUCUGUGUGUGUACAACCCAUAGGAAAUUCUUCCCAGUAAAUUCCUGUAGCCUUCAGACAUUUUCAAGAGGCAAAGGACCAGGUAGGUCUGUAUUUCUAUUAAUUACAAAAAGAAAACGUUUCAUUGUCUUUGUUCCUAGGAAGAAAUAUAAUGAGAAUUAGAAGCCUUUGAAUUAGGCUAGAAACACUGUGGACUACUAAGUGUAAAGUAGAAGAAGGUGAAGCUGAAUUUUAAAGGUCAGAAUUCUGUUUGUACCUUUAUUUUACUUCCAUUUCAGCUCUAUGUGGGCUUUCUACCAAAGGAAGCAGAGACCGCUUGUGUUCCUUGUCUUUAGAUGGAUUUUCUGAAGGAAGGGAUAGGGGCCAAUGCCAGUACUAUCAAGGCAAUUGUCUGGGACCUUGGUCCCCAGAGAGAUAGGAUAAAAGGAUGUAGAGCAGGGGCUAGACACCAAGCCCUGUGCUGACAUGGACUGCGAGUGCUAUAACAUACACCCAGAGGCAGAGUGGAGAGAGAGAAAGGUGGAGCCAGGGGGAGAAGCAUAUUCUCUCCUGGUGUCGGUGACCCACAAGAACCUUGGCCUUUCCAUGGCCAGAGGAGGGUCCUGGUAUGAAUAAAUAAAUCAACAAAUAAAGCUGUGGUAAUUUC